GGAAUAUUGCGCAAUGGGGGAAACCCUGACGCAGCAACGCCGCGUGAAUGAUGAAGGCCUUCGGGUUGUAAAGUUCUGUCUUCUGGGACGAUAAUGACGGUACCAGAGGAGGAAGCCACGGCUAACUACGUGCCAGCAGCCGCGGUAAUACGUAGGUGGCAAGCGUUGUCCGGAUUUACUGGGCGUAAAGGAUGCGUAGGCGGACAUUUAAGUCAGAUGUGAAAUACCCGAGCUUAACUUGGGUGCUGCAUUUGAAACUGGGUGUCUAGAGUGCAGGAGAGGAAAGCGGAAUUCCUAGUGUAGCGGUGAAAUGCGUAGAGAUUAGGAAGAACACCAGUGGCGAAGGCGGCUUUCUGGACUGUAACUGACGCUGAGGCAUGAAAGCGUGGGGAGCAAACAG
rnacentral:rRNA from 1 species